GGGCGAUUAGCUCAGCGGUAGAGCAUUCCCUUUACACGGGACAGGUCGGCGGUUCGAUCCCGUCAUCGCCUACCA
rnacentral:tRNA from 6 species